CCUACGGGCCGCACCAGUGAGGAAUAUUGCACAAUGGGCGCAAGCCUGAUGCAGCCAUGCCGCGUGUAUGAAGAAGGCCUUCGGGUUGUAAAGUACUUUCAGCGGGGAGGAAGGUGUUGAGGUUAAUAACCUCAGCAAUUGACGUUACCCGCAGAGGAAGCACCGGCUAACUCCGUGCCAGCAGCCGCGGUAAUACGGAGGGUGCAAGCGUUAAUCGGAAUUACUGGGCGUAAAGCGCACGCAGGCGGUCUGUCAAGUCGGAUGUGAAAUCCCCGGGCUCAACCCGGGAACUGCAUCCGAAACUGGCAGGCUUGAGUCUUGUAGAGGGGGGUAGAAUUCCAGGUGUAGCGGUGAAAUGCGUAGAGAUCUGGAGGAAUACCGGUGGCGAAGGCGGCCCCCUGGACAAAGACUGACGCUCAGGUGCGAAAGCGUGGGGAGCAAACAGGAUUAGAUACCCCAGUAGUC
rnacentral:rRNA from 1 species